GACGAACGCUGGCGGCGUGCUUAACACAUGCAAGUCGAACGGAAAGGCCCUGCUUUUGUGGGGUGCUCGAGUGGCGAACGGGUGAGUAGCACGUGAGUAACCUGCCCUUGACUUUGGGAUAACUUCAGGAAACUGGGGCUAAUACCGGAUAGGAGCUCCUGCUGCAUGGUGGGGGUUGGAAAGUUUCGGCGGUUGGGGAUGGACUCGCGGCUUAUCAGCUUGCUGGUGGGGUAGUGGCUUACCAAGGCUUUGACGGGUAGCCGGCCUGAGAGGGUGACCGGCCACAUUGGGACUGAGAUACGGCCCAGACUCCUACGGGAGGCAGCAGUGGGGAAUAUUGCACAAUGGGCGGAAGCCUGAUGCAGCAACGCCGCGUGCGGGAUGACGGCCUUCGGGUUGUAAACCGCUUUCGCCUGUGACGAAGCGUGAGUGACGGUAAUGGGUAAAGAAGCACCGGCUAACUACGUGCCAGCAGCCGCGGUGAUACGUAGGGUGCGAGCGUUGUCCGGAUUUAUUGGGCGUAAAGGGCUCGUAGGUGGUUGAUCGCGUCGGAAGUGUAAUCUUGGGGCUUAACCCUGAGCGUGCUUUCGAUACGGGUUGACUUGAGGAAGGUAGGGGAGAAUGGAAUUCCUGGUGGAGCGGUGGAAUGCGCAGAUAUCAGGAGGAACACCAGUGGCGAAGGCGGUUCUCUGGGCCUUUCCUGACGCUGAGGAGCGAAAGCGUGGGGAGCGAACAGGCUUAGAUACCCUGGUAGUCCACGCUGUAAACGGUGGGUACUAGGUGUGGGGUCCAUUCCACGGGUUCCGUGCCGUAGCUAACGCUUUAAGUACCCCGCCUGGGGAGUACGGCCGCAAGGCUAAAACUCAAAGGAAUUGACGGGGCCCCGCACAAGCGGCGGAGCAUGCGGAUUAAUUCGAUGCAACGCGUAGAACCUUACCUGGGUUUGACAUGGAUCGGGAGUGCUCAGAGAUGGGUGUGCCUCUUUUGGGGUCGGUUCACAGGUGGUGCAUGGCUGUCGUCAGCUCGUGUCGUGAGAUGUUGGGUUAAGUCCCGCAACGAGCGCAACCCUUGUUCACUGUUGCCAGCACGUUAUGGUGGGGACUCAGUGGAGACCGCCGGGGUCAACUCGGAGGAAGGUGGGGAUGACGUCAAGUCAUCAUGCCCCUUAUGUCCAGGGCUUCACGCAUGCUACAAUGGCUGGUACAGAGAGUGGCGAGCCUGUGAGGGUGAGCGAAUCUCGGAAAGCCAGUCUCAGUUCGGAUUGGGGUCUGCAACUCGACCUCAUGAAGUCGGAGUCGCUAGUAAUCGCAGAUCAGCAACGCUGCGGUGAAUACGUUCCCGGGGCA
rnacentral:rRNA from 1 species